CUACGGGCUGCAGCAGUGGGGAAUUUUGCUCAAUGGGGGUAACCCUGACGCAGCAACGCCGCGUGGAGGACGAAGGCUCUUGGGUCGUAAACUCCUGUCAGCAGGGAAGAAACCAUUCAUGGCUAAUAUCCAUGAGUAUUGACGGUACCUGCAGAGGAAGCACCGGGUAACUACGUGCCAGCAGCCGCGGUAAUACGUAGGGUGCAAGCGUUGUGUCGGAAUCAUUGGGCGUAAAGCGUACGUAGGCGGGCUCGCAAGUCAGGUGUGAAAGCCCACAGCUUAACUGUGGAACUGCGCUUGAAACUGCAAGUCUGGAGGAUGGUAGAGGCAAGUAGAAUUCCUGGUGUAGAGGUGAAAUUCGUAGAUAUCAGGAGGAACACCAGUGGCGAAGGCGACUUCCUGGACCAAGACUGACACUGAGGUGCGAAAGCGUGGGUAGCAAACAGGAUUAGAUACCCUUGUAGUC
rnacentral:rRNA from 1 species